CGGGCUGUGGCGCAGCUUGGGAGCGCGCGUCGUUCGGGUCGACGAGGUCGUGGGUUCAAAUCCCGCCAGCCCGA
rnacentral:tRNA from 1 species